rnacentral:rRNA from 1 species
GAUGAACGCUGGCGGCGUGCCUAAUACAUGCAAGUCGAGCGAACGGACGAGAAGCUUGCUUCUCUGAUGUUAGCGGCGGACGGGUGAGUAACACGUGGAUAACCUACCUAUAAGACUGGGAUAACUUCGGGAAACCGUAGCUAAUACCGGAUAAUAUUUUGUACCGCAUGGUUCAAAAGUGAAAGACGGUCUUGCUGUCACUUAUAGAUGGAUCCGCGCUGCAUUAGCUAGUUGGUAAGGUAACGGCUUACCAAGGCAACGAUGCAUAGCCGACCUGAGAGGGUGAUCGGCCACACGGGAACGGAGACACGGUCCAGACUCCUACGGGAGGCAGCAGUAGGGAAUCUUCCGCAAUGGGCGAAAGCCUGACGGAGCAACGCCGCGUGAGUGAUGAAGGUCUUCGGAUCGUAAAGCUCUGUUAUUAGGGAAGAACAGAUGUGUAAGUAACUGUGCACAUCUUGACGGUACCUAAUCAGAAAGCCACGGCUAACUACGUG